rnacentral:snoRNA from 2 species
AAGAUGAUGAGACGUGUUCCUCUCUCCUACGGACACCCUGGGGAUGCCAUGUACACCUUACUGACUUA